UGAGGUCCUUGCUGGAUCUAAAAUUCUAGAUCUCCUACUGUACUCACUAUAAUUUCCCCUUCUAUCUUGAUAGACUACCUCAUCUGCACUUUCAAUCUGUCAAGGGACACUUAUUCUGAGUUGCCGAAGGCUUUUGUACCAGAUGAGAACAGCCAUCCACAGAUAAAGGAGAGAGAAAGGGAAUGAAGAAGGGAGAGGGGAUGGAUUUUCUGCAGAUGAAUCCCUUGACUAUGAAGCUUAACUCCAAAGCAACAAGCAAAAACAUUCAUGAAAUAACCUGUGGGGACAGUUUCCUGGCAGAGAAGGGGCUUAGAGACAAGUCCUCUAUGAUUUCGAAAGGAGAAGAGAUAAAGGACUAUGUUUAGAGGCUAAGUCAUGGUACCUCUAUUUCACGAAAAAUGGGAAGUAUUCUGUGAUUUGGAAGAGAGAACUUAAGAAAGUGGUAUAAGAUAUACAGUAAAUUGAGCUGAGACAUAAAGUCAUACUGUAGGCAGCCUUAGGCUGCAGUAACAGUCUCCAUUCUCCCAGGUGCUUAAAUAGCACACAUUUGUUUUUCACUCACCCUAUGCAUUCACUGAUGAUCAGCAAGGUGGCUCUGAGCACUGUAUCACUCAGGGAACCUCGUGACGGAGGCUUUGUAUUGAUAUGUGCUUCCUUAAUCACAGCAGCAGUGAGAAGAGAGUGAACUGGCUCUUAAGACUCUUCCCCCAAAGCAACACACAUCACUUUGCUCACAUUUUUUUAUUAGCUAAGGCAAGUCACAGGGUCUCACCUAACUUCAAAGGGAGUAGGAGAGGGCUACCUUGCUCUGUGACCAAAAGAAGGAAUAUUUGGCCAACAAUAUUAACAUCUACAACAAACAUUAAACCAGGCUGCAGGAACAUUCAAUAGAUAGAUAAAUCUAGUUUAGUUGUGUAAAGUCUAUAACAUAUUUCAAUGUAUAAAUAUACCAACGGGACAUUUGGAUUGUUA